rnacentral:misc_RNA from 1 species
UAAAUAAAAUCGAUGUGUCGCUUUUGACAUUUCGGAGCUGGGCUAUCAUAAUCAUACCAGGUUUAAGAGGCCUGAAAUUCAAUCUUUUUGUGCAUCCUGGACGUGUAUAAUUCACUUAUCCGUUUCCGGGUGUCAAUUUUUAUUAGGUGUGGUCACGAUGUAUGAUCUCGUACCUAUAAUCUUUCAUA